GAUGAACGCUGGCGGCGUGCUUAAUACAUGCAAGUCGAGCGAACGGACGCUACGUUUGCUUUUCUGAUGUUGCCGACGGACGGGUAAGUAACACGUGGUUAACCUACCUCUAAGACUUGGAUAACUUCGGGAAACCGUAGUUACUACCGGUUACUAUUUUUAACCUCAUGGUUCAAAAGUUAAUGCCGUUUUUGCUGUCCUUUCUACCUGGAUCCUCGUUGCAUUAGUUAUUUGGUAAGGUAACGGCUUACCAAGGCAACGAUGCAUGGCCGACCUGAGAGGGUGAACGGACACACUGGAACUGAGACACGGUCCAGACUCCGACGGGAGGCAGAAGUAGGGAAUCUUGCGAAAAGGGCGAAAGACUGAAGGAGCAACGCCGCGUGAGUGAUGAAGGGCUUCGGAUCGGAAAACUCUGUUAUUAGGGAAGAACAUAUGUGUAAGUAACUGUGCACAUCGUGACGGUACCUAAUCAGAAAGCCACGGCUAACUACGUG
rnacentral:rRNA from 1 species